UGGGACUUUGAUCUCUGCUCCAACGACUGCCGCGGCCGGGAGACGGACGUUAAACUGUUAAGAUGAACGUCAAAAAAGAAUUUGCAACUUCAGCGGGGCUGUGAUCCUGCACAACAAAACAUGAAAGAAUAAAAUCACCACACUACCAUGGAUAAUAGUGGUGCAACGGGUUGCAGAAUCUGUGGUAUGGAUCCUUUCCACACGGUGCGGCACGCAGCCUUCAUCUUACCUGAAGACAAGAAACCCCCCGCCCCAAUCCCUGUUCCACUGACAAAACCCUUGCACAUUUUCCCCUUGCACAUUUUCCAAUAAUUUAUUCAGUGGAUGUGAUUGUUGUAAUGUGGCAUGAAUUAGCAGACUGGGAACAAUUUAGAGAUGACAAAUUAUAAUACUUUUUCCUUUAUGUUUUAGUUUUCAUGGAAUUGUUGUAGAUCUAUAAGUAAAUAAAAAACAUUUUUUAAAUCACA